rnacentral:lncRNA from 1 species
CACGAGGCCAUGUGAAGACCUGUGUCUUUCCCAUUUACUCUGCCAUUCAUUUUAACAGGAUUUUAAUGCAGCUGCAUGUUUUCAACUGUACUUAACGGACCCUGCUCAUGACUUCUUGAAACACCUUCAUGGACACAUCCAUAAAUCAUGUUUUAUCAACUAUCUGGUCAUCCCGUAGCCCAGUCAGGUUGACACAUAGAAUUGACGAUUCCACCUGCCCUCCUGGCAAGUAUGUAAAGUUCAGCAAUGAGCAUCAGACCCAGAGCCAAAGAGCAUCCUUGCUGGAUUUUUGUGUCUAGAGACAAAGUAAGAGAAGUUUGUGUGAGCUUCUUAUCAGCGAUUAAAGAUAUGAAGAAAACAGAAGCUGUACCACCUGUAUUCCAUUUAUUCAAGAGAAGCAGAGGAAGGAGAGAAAAAGGAAAGCCAAUAUGCAACCUGUGCAAAGCAAAAAUCCCAGAGAGAUGAAGGUGUUGGUUUUUGCUUUUGUUUUUGCCAUGAGGAUUUUGAAGUCCUUUUGCCAAACCUGCCAUUCUGGACAAUUGUUUGAUGACUUAUCAAACUGUCAUAUCCUUUCAACAAAUCUGUUUUGUUUUGUAUUGUUUUGAUUUAAGCUAAUAGGGUUUGUUUCUGGCUUUUGCCAGAAACAAAAAAGUGAGUCUUGUCUAAUAUAGGUCAAUGGCUUUAUAUAUAAAGCUAUUGUAUUAGGACUGUUUACAACAUGAAAACAACAACAACAACAGACGUGAAAUAAUCCACAAUGUAAAUGUAGUUAAAUAAGUCAUGGUAAAAACUAUAAAAAUGAAAUAUGUUGUAGCCUUUAAAACUAUGUUUCCAAAGAUUGUUAAAUAAUCAGUGUUUAUGUAAGAAACUAUUAAGUGAGAACGCAGAAUACAAAACUAAUCAAUAUUAAUUAUGUGUGUUUGUACAUACAUAGAUGAAUGUUUAGAAGAAAAAACAUGAAAAUAUCAGGAGCAGUCAACUGUGGGUGGUGGGCUCACAGGUGGCAUGGUGUUCACGUGCUCUUUUACUUAACAAGUAAGGAUUUAUUUUUACAUGUAGAGAAAAUUAUAAAAUAUUAUUUUCAAUAUUACAUUUAUUCCUAUGUAAACAUAAUAUUUAGUUUAGUACUUAAGCAAAUUAUGUGAAAUUUCAAGUUAAUAGAGUCAAAUUACUGAAUUAUUUAUUUUGUAGAGAGAAAGCCAGAGAAUGAAUGUAUUCUAAGUAGUCUUUAUUCUCUGUGAACAUUUAUACAAACAAACCACAGAGGUAUCUCUCCCCAUAAAUUAGAUUUUUAAGUGACUUUUUCAUUAAACAAAUAUUAAGAAAGUAUAAUAAUUACUUGAGUUGUGUUAAAUUCUUCCUUUAAUUAAGAAAUGAAGCCCACAAUAGGUAAGGUAAUUCUUAUGCUGAAAAAGUAUGUAAUUCCAAUUAUGCGCACAAGCACUGUGUAAUGAAUUGAACCCUUUAUCUUUUGCCUUCUAAAAAAAAUACAUCAUCUGGCUUUUUAAAUGCUUCAGUUUAAAUACUUUUGUUGAUUUUUUGCAAUAGAGGCCUGCUCUCUGGAAAAGUAAUAGUAUAGGCUAACAAUCAAUUUUUUUAAGUAAAGAGAUUAAAAAAUAAACUGAAUAAGCAAAAUAAGGGCUUUUUUCUAACUGAAGACUGAUUUUUGGUACAGGCUAAUGUUACUACAACACCUAGAAAUUAAACACAAUAAAUAAAUAAAUGUAUAUGACUAUAAAGAAUGCCUUAAACAUUAAGUAAUUCAAUUUCAUUUUAUAAAACCACAAUAUACAUAAAGCCAGGUAAUUCAUUUGAAAAUCACUGAAUAAGAAAUUAUAUAAUCUGGCUCUUGAAAAAUUUUAGCUAUGUCCAAAAUGGUUACAAAUAUUUCACAUAUUGAAAACCCA